CUUUUGCUGGCGACCGGCGCAUGGGUGAGUAACACGUAUCCAACCUGCCCUUUACUCGGGGAUAGCCUUUCGAAAGAAAGAUUAAUACCCGAUAGCAUAAUGAUUCCGCAUGGUUUCAUUAUUAAAGGAUUCCGGUAAAGGAUGGGGAUGCGUUCCAUUAGGUUGUUGGUGAGGUAACGGCUCACCAAGCCUUCGAUGGAUAGGGGUUCUGAGAGGAAGGUCCCCCACAUUGGAACUGAGACACGGUCCAA
rnacentral:rRNA from 1 species